rnacentral:lncRNA from 1 species
GUGGCCGUGUGGACACCACUUUCCGUCCCGCUUUCUUUAUUUCUUCUUGAAUGUAUAAAAAUAUUUACAAGUUGAUCAAACAGAACAAAUAAGAUAUGAUUACAAUUGAUUUCUUAUAUUUAAUUAAGUUCUAUAGUUCCUGAUUAUUGGGAUGCUUCUUCUUCAUCAAAGGGUUGGGUGGGUGGGAUUUUCCUUCUAUGUUGUCUCGAAGACCUUUGAAACCAGAGUGAACUGAGAUAAAAUUUGGCUAGCUUUUGCUGAUAACUGAAGAAUGUCGGCUUAGCAAAAUGGGAUUAUAUUGACAAUUUGGCAUUGACACAUGGCAGGUGUUGCCCGGAGAGCAAGGCG